rnacentral:tRNA from 1 species
GCACCAAUAGCUCAGCUGGAUAGAGCAUCCGCCUUCUAAGCGGCAGGUCCGUGGUUCAAGUCCACGUUGGUGCGCAA